GACGAACGCUGGCGGCGUGCUUAACACAUGCAAGUCGAACGGAAAGGCCCUGCUUUUGUGGGGUGCUCGAGUGGCGAACGGGUGAGUAACACGUGAGUAACCUGCCCUUGACUUUGGGAUAACUUCAGGAAACUGGGGCUAAUACCGGAUAGGAGCUCCUGCUGCAUGGUGGGGGUUGGAAAGUUUCGGCGGUUGGGGAUGGACUCGCGGCUUAUCAGCUUGUUGGUGGGGUAGUGGCUUACCAAGGCUUUGACGGGUAGCCGGCCUGAGAGGGUGACCGGCCACAUUGGGACUGAGAUACGGCCCAGACUCCUACGGGAGGCAGCAGUGGGGAAUAUUGCACAAUGGGCGGAAGCCUGAUGCAGCAACGCCGCGUGCGGGAUGACGGCCUUCGGGUUGUAAACCGCUUUAGCCUGUGACGAAGCGUGAGUGACGGUAAUGGGUAAAGAAGCACCGGCUAACUACGUG
rnacentral:rRNA from 1 species